GACGGGUAUCCGGCCUGAGAGGGUGAACGGACACACUGGAACUGARACACGGUCCAGACUCCUACGGGAGGCAGCAGUAGGGAAUAUUGCUCAAUGGGGGAAACCCUGAAGCAGCAACGCCGCGUGGAGGAUGAAGGUUUUCGGAUUGUAAACUCCUUUUGUUAGAGAAGAUAAUGACGGUAUCUAACGAAUAAGCACCGGCUAACUCCGUGCCAGCAGCCGCGGUAAUACGGAGGGUGCAAGCGUUACUCGGAAUCACUGGGCGUAAAGAGCGCGUAGGCGGGAUAGCAAGUCAGAUGUGAAAUCCUAUGGCUUAACCAUAGAACUGCAUUUGAAACUGUUAUUCUA
rnacentral:rRNA from 1 species